UACGUAGGAUGCAAGCGUUGUCCGGAUUUAUUGGGUUUAAAGGGUGCGUAGGCGGCCUAUUAAGUUAGUGGUGAAAACGUUCGGCUUAACCGGAUACCCGCCAUUGAUACUGAUAGACUUGAGUGCGACAGAGGGUGUUGGAAUGUGUGGUGUAGCGGUGAAAUGCUUAGAGAUCACGCAGAACACCAAUUGCGAAGGCAGAUGCCUAUGUCGUAACUGACGAUGAGGCACGAAAGAGUGGGGAGCAAGCAGG
rnacentral:rRNA from 1 species